CUUUGGAGUCUCUGUCCAGGCGUAGUUCGCUUUCGUACGAACUGCCCGAGCGAAGGUGGGACCCCUUCAGACGUUGCAGUGCUCGAUAAUGUAGGGGUCCCUGGAAAAAUCGCCUGAAUGGAGGAGGCCAAAAGGCCGAUCAACCUCGCGAGUUGUCGUACGGAGAGAGAAGUGGUCCGCAGCGUACGUCUUAUUUCCUUCUUCAUAGCCUUUAGCUUGGCCUCUGGAAGGAACAAGAACUGGGCGACCGAAUCGACUUCAAAACCCAGAAAUUCUAUUUUCUGCAUCGGGGUCACCAUGGAUUUUUCCCAAUUUAUGAGAAAACCUAAGUUCUCCAGAAGAUCCACCAUCCAGCCCAGAUGCUGUAGAAGUUGUUCGGGGGACGCGGACAUAAUCAGUAUGUCGUCCAGGUAAAUAAUCAAUCAUGCAUACUCCCAGAGACCCGAGGAACGCCACUACCAGUUUCAUCACCUUUGUGAAGCACCAAAGUACUGAAGAGAGACCGAAGGGCAGACAGGUAAACCUCCAUCGACAUCCUUGCCACGUAACGUGCAAUAAGCCCCAGUGUUCUUCUGCCAUUGGAAUAGUCAAAUAAGCAUCUUUGAGGUCCAGUUUGACCAUCCAGUCUCCUUGCC